rnacentral:misc_RNA from 1 species
UCCGGCUUGUCACCGGCGGUUUCUUCAGAGUGCCCGGCCUGACCCGGGGGCAACUGAAGAUGAGGGUUGCGCUCGUUGCGGGACUUAACCCAACAUCUCACGACACGAGCUGACGACAGCCAUGCAGCACCUGUGUGGAAGCCAGCCGAACUGAAGGGUAUAGUCUCCUACACCCAUACUUCCCAUGUCAAAGGUUGGUAAGGUUCUUCGCGUUGCGUCGAAUUAAACCACAUACUCCACCGCUUGUGCGGGCCCCCGUCAAUUCAUUUGAGUUUCAACCUUGCGGCCGUACUCCCCAGGCGGCAUGCUUAAUGCGUUAGCUGCGACACAAGAGAGCUAAGCCCUCCAACGUCUAGCAUGCAUAGUUUACGGCGUGGACUAC